UGGGUUGUGAUGAAGCGGUUAACAUCCGGAGCUUUGACCUCCGUAUUCGUAGGUUCGAAUCCUACCAGCCCAG
rnacentral:tRNA from 1 species